UUUCAUUUCCACCUUCUCUUCCGCUUCUCCUCCACUUUCGCUGCCGCUUUCACUCCACUUCCACUUCCCCUUUCCCUUCCACUUCCAUCUUCACUUCCACUUCCCCUUUCUCUUUCCCUUCCACUUCCACCUUCGCUUCCACCCCCAACUUUGCGACAGCUUUCACUUCCACUUUCACUUCUAUUUCCACUUUCACUUCCGCCUCUUCUUCACUUCCACUUCUACUUCCGCUUCCAUCUUCACUUCCACCUUUUGUUCACUUUCAAUUUCACUUCCACUUCCCCCUUUCCUUCCCCUUUCACUUCCACUUCCAUCUUCCCUUCCCUUUCCACUUCCCCCUUCCAAUUCCACCUUCGCUUCCACUUUCCCUUCCGCUUCCUCUUCCCCUUCAACUUCCCCUUUUACUUCCACUUCCACCUUCAGCUUUCACAUCCCUUUCAUUUUCCCUUCCACUUCCACGUCCCCUUCCCCUUUCACUUCCACCUUCCUCCCGCUUCCCCUUCCACUUCCACCUCCACUUCCACCUUCAUUUCAGCUUCCACUUCACUUUCGCUUUCACUUCCACUUUCCCUCCCACUUUUCCUUUUCCUUCCACUCCCACCUUCACUUCCACUUCCCCUUUUACUUCCGCUUCCACUUCCCCUUCAACUUCCACCUUCCCAUCCACUUCCACUUUCCCUUUUACUUCCACUUCCAAUUCCACCUUCGCUUCCAUCUCCACCUUUAUUUCAACUUCCCCUUCACUUCCGCUUUCACUUCCAACUUUCCUUCUCCUUUCACUUUCUCUUCCCUCCCACUUCCACUUUCCCACCCACCUUCCCUUCCACUUCCACUUUCCUUUCCACCUUUACUUCAGCUUUCACUUCCCCCUUCCCUUCCCCUUCAACCUUCUCACCCACUUCCCCUCCCACUUCGACUUCCCCUCCCACUUCGACUUCCCCUCCCACUUCCUCUUUCACUUCCACCUUCAGCUUUCACUUCACUUGCGCUUAGCUUUCACUUCCCCCUUCCCUCCCCCUUCCUUUCCACCUUCUCUCCCACUUCCACUUCCCCAUUUACUUCCCCUUCCACUUCCACCUUCAGCUUCCCCUUCGCUUCUACUUUCGCUUUCACUUCCCCCUUCCCUUUCACUUCCCCCUUCCCUUUCACUUCCCCCUUCCCUCCCACUUCCACUUUUCCAUUUACUUCCACUUCCUCUUCCACCUUCAUCUUUCCAUUCACUUUCGCUUUCACUUUCACUUCCCCCUUCCCUUCCCUUUCAUUCCCCUUUCCCUCCCACUUCCCCUUCCACCUUCCCUCCCACUUCCACUUCCCCAUUUACUUCCACUUCCACUUCCCCUUCCACUUCCACCUUUAGCUUUCCAUUCGUUUUCAAUUUCGCUUUCACUUCCCCCUUCCCUCCCCUUUUCAUUCCCCCUUCCCUCCCCCUUCCCCUUCCCCUCCCACUUCCGCUUCCCCUUCCUCUUCCCCCUUCUCCAUUUCCUUCCCCUUACUCACAAUAAUGCCCCGGAUGCAGAGGGGGAUGAUGUUGCAGGUGACCGUUCUGAUGAUGAGGGAUGGCGGAAGGAUACGCAGCACCUCGACUUCCGCUCCAACCUCCGUUUCCUCCGCUAUCUACAGACAGGAAAUAAACAAGGAAACUUCCGCCCUAACCGGAAAUAC
rnacentral:lncRNA from 1 species